rnacentral:lncRNA from 1 species
ACGGAUGGUCAAAUAAGAUAUGAGUUAAAAACAACACUCUUUUAGGACAUAGAGAGUACUAUGUAAUUAGUUAUUUUUUAUCUAUAUUUAAUGUUUGUCUAUAUUUAAUGCACCAUGCAUAUGUCGAAAGAUUUGAUUCGAUGAGUGAAAAGUUUUUAUGUAGGAAAUUAAACAAGGCCUAAUUGUGCGAAAAUGUAUUGGAUCAUGUACAUGUUCAACAGGGCUUAGGUCCCGUUUGGUUGCUUUCGGUAAAGUUUAUUAUCCGUCAUAUUGAAUGUUUGGACAUAUGCAUAGUAUAAAUGUAAACUAUUUACGAAACUAAAAAUAUAGAUAGAGUAAAUUUGCGAGACAAAACACUAAUUUCCAAAUAAGACGAAAAUACUACUUUUAAACUUUAACACCAUCAACCAAACACUACUUAUCUCAACCGUUAAAAAUGUCCUUGAGAUUUGUGCCGUCUUUUUGUAUUCUGUCUAUAAUUCCUUUUUUUUUCUUUCGAUGUAUUUCGGUGAAAGACAGCAGCACCAACCUCGUGCGGACCCAUUCAUGUGCUACGGCACAACAGUUUUCAGUUUUUCCAAGCACGUUGAGGUGUUUUUUUUUUUUGCCCUAGAGGCCCUGUACAUCACGGACAUGAGGAUAUGCCCACGUCGGACAUGAGAUGUUCCGAUUUCUUAUACGAUGUGCUUUUUCAAUUUCUUUCUUUCUUUUUUUGAUUCCUUUAGUUACGUCCGAUUCUUGGCUCUUUUCUUUUCCCGGUCAUGGUCAAGGUUCAGUUACGUUUUCUUUAUUUUUUAACUAAACAUUGUUCUAUGUUCUUCAUCCACUUAUGGUAACCUAGAUAAACAGAAAUCCCAAUACCAAUAAAUUUCUCCAAUGUUAACUAAUCUGAAUAAGAAUUCUAAUCAAAGAUUCUUGCAAAAAAAAAGUUUGCUUAAAAAUUAUACAUGCAACUUUUAUCAUUUCUUUUUGCACCUAUAUUUUUUGUUUCCUUCCACUUUUCUGUUUCUGUUUUUUCUUUUGCAUCUAACUUUUCCCUUUUCCCUCUAUUGCACCGUAUGAAUAUAUUUGCUAGUUCUACUAAAUUCUCACUAAUAUAGGCACCUACCCAUAUGUGGGACAUGGAAGCGAUCUUUCAUCAAAUAAAUAUAGCAUUGGAAUGUGACAUUUAAGACAUAUUUUAGAUGUCUUGUUUCUAGAUAGCUAAAUCUGGCGUUUAAGUGCAAAUUGCUGAUAUUUGGAAGUUAAACCAUGAGGAUAAGUUUAAAUCAAUGGGCGCUAAUAAAUUUGUAACACCCAAAAAUUUUAUUUCUUUAAAAUAGAUGAAUUGAAUUUAAAUGAAUUAUUUUGUGAGCAUUUUCAAUAUAGAAAAAUAAAUAAAUUUAGGGAAAUAAAAAUUUAAUAUAAGUUUAGAGUAAUACUUUUGUUGCAUACAUUCUGAUGCAUUUUUUUUGUGAUGAGUGUUAAGAAAUCAAAACGUCUUGUGCAAGAAAAUAUUUGAAGAAAAAGAAAUGCAUUUGGAAAAUAUGUUUGAAAAAAAGAAAUGGAAUCCCACCUUCCUUCUUUUCGGCCUUU